UACGUAGGUGGCAAGCGUUAUCCGGAAUUAUUGGGCGUAAAGAGGGAGCAGGCGGCAAUAGAGGUCUGUGGUGAAAGACUGAAGCUUAACUUCAGUAAGCCAUGGAAACCAAAUAGCUAGAGUGCAUUAGAGGAUCGUGGAAUUCCAUGUGUAGCGGUGAAAUGCGUAGAUAUAUGGAGGAACACCAGUAGCGAAGGCGACGAUCUGGGAUGCAACUGACGCUCAGUCCCGAAAGCGUGGGGAGCAAAUAGG
rnacentral:rRNA from 1 species